UACAGAGGGUGCGAGCGUUGUCCGGAAUCACUGGGCGUAAAGGGCGCGUAGGUGGCGCUGCAAGUCGGUGGUGAAAGCUCGAUGCUUAGCAUCGAGUCGGCCAUCGAAACUGCAGGGCUGGAGCACUGUAGGGGCAGAUGGAAUUCCGGGUGUAGCGGUGGAAUGCGUAGAGAUCCGGAAGAACACCGGUGGCGAAGGCGGUCUGCUGGGCAGUUGCUGACACUGAGGCGCGACAGCGUGGGGAGCAAACAGG
rnacentral:rRNA from 1 species